rfam:Cephalotus follicularis DNA, scaffold: scaffold798, isolate: St1.
GGGUGCGAUCAUUUUAGUACUUAUGCAUCGGAUUCCAUUGGAACUUCGCAGUUAAGCUUGCUUGGACGAUGUGUAGUAGUUUUAUGCAUACCAGCUCUGUGAGUAAAUUUUUGGAAUGCGUCCA